rnacentral:rRNA from 1 species
GAUGAACGCUAGCUACAGGCUUAACACAUGCAAGUCGAGGGGCAGCAUGGUCUUAGCUUGCUAAGGCUGAUGGCGACCGGCGCACGGGUGAGUAACACGUAUCCAACCUGCCGUCUACUCUUGGCCAGCCUUCUGAAAGGAAGAUUAAUCCAGGAUGGCAUCAUGAGUUCACAUGUCCGCAUGAUUAAAGGUAUUUUCCGGUAGACGAUGGGGAUGCGUUCCAUUAGAUAGUAGGCGGGGUAACGGCCCACCUAGUCAACGAUGGAUAGGGGUUCUGAGAGGAAGGUCCCCCACAUUGGAACUGAGACACGGUCCAAACUCCUACGGGAGGCAGCAGUGAGGAAUAUUGGUCAAUGGGCGAUGGCCUGAACCAGCCAAGUAGCGUGAAGGAUGACUGCCCUAUGGGUUGUAAACUUCUUUUAUAAAGGAAUAAAGUCGGGUAUGCAUACCCGUUUGCAUGUACUUUAUGAAUAAGGAUCGGCUAACUCCGUGCCAGCAGCCGCGGUAAUACGGAGGAUCCGAGCGUUAUCCGGAUUUAUUGGGUUUAAAGGGAGCGUAGAUGGAUGUUUAAGUCAGUUGUGAAAGUUUGCGGCUCAACCGUAAAAUUGCAGUUGAUACUGGAUGUCUUGAGUGCAGUUGAGGCAGGCGGAAUUCGUGGUGUAGCGGUGAAAUGCUUAGAUAUCACGAAGAACUCCGAUUGCGAAGGCAGCCUGCUAAGCUGCA